rnacentral:rRNA from 1 species
UUUCGCAAUGCCCGAAAGGGUGACGAAGCGACGCCGCGUGGGUGAGGAAGGCCCUCGGGUUGUAAAGCCCUGUCAGGAGUUAAGAAAUGUAAGUGCGCUAAUAUCGCAUUUAUUUGACGAAGGCUCCAAAGGAAGCCACGGCUAACUCUGUGCCAGCAGCCGCGGUAAUACAGAGGUGGCAAGCGUUGUUCGGAAUUAUUGGGCGUAAAGAGCACGUAGGUGGGUUUGUAAGUCAGAUGUGAAAGCCUUCUGUUCAACGGAAGAAUUGCAUCUGAAACUACAAGUCUUGAGUGUAGGAGGGGAGAAUGGAACUUCUGGUGGAGCGGUGAAAUGCGUAGAUAUCAGAAGGAACGCCGGCGGCGAAAGCGAUUCUCUGGCCUAUUACUGACACUCAGUGUGCGAAAGCUAGGGGAGCAAACGGGAUUAGAUACCCCGGUAGUCCUAGCCGUAAACGAUGGGCACUAAGUAGAGGGG